rnacentral:rRNA from 1 species
UACGAGGGGGCAAGCGUUGUUCGGAAUUAUUGGGCGUAAAGGGCGCGUAGGCGGUGCGGUAAGUCACCUGUGAAACCUCUAGGCUUAACCUAGAGCCUGCAGGCGAAACUGCCGUGCUUGAGGGUGGGAGAGGUGCGUGGAAUUCCCGUGUAGCGGUGAAAUGCGUAGAUAUCUGGAGGAACACCGGUGGCGAAGGCGCUCUCUGGAACGCAACUGACGCUGAGACGCGAAAGCGUGGGAGCAACAGG